rnacentral:rRNA from 1 species
UUAAAUGGCCGCAGUAUUUUGACUGUGCUAAGGUAGCAUAAUCAUUAGUUUUUUAAUUGAAAACUUGUAUGAAGGGUUGGAUGAAAAAAUUACUGUCUAAAGUUAAUUUAAUUAGAAUUUUAUUUUUAAGUUAAAAAGCUUAAAUAUCAUUAAAAGACGAGAAGACCCUAUAGAGUUUUAUAAGUCAAAUUAUUUUAAAAUUUUAGAAUUUAAUUUUUGUAAUAAUUUAUUUAUUUAGUUGGGGUGAUUGAAAAAUUUAAAAAACUUUUUUUUAAUUUUAUAUAUUUAUAAAUAAAUGCUUGAUCCAAUAUUUUUGAUUAAAAGAUAAAAUUACCUUAGGGAUAACAGCGUAAUUUUAUUGGAGAGUU